AAACCAUGAUGAGGGCACCUUCUCAAUAGAUCAUUGUAUCUCUCUCGUGCUUCAUAUAAUUUCUCUAAAUCGAUCUGGGCAAAGGAAGAAAUGUCAUUCCUCAACUU
rfam:Gossypium raimondii chromosome 4, whole genome shotgun sequence.